rnacentral:rRNA from 1 species
UACGAAGGGUGCAAACGUUAUUCGGAAUUACUGGGCGUAAAGCGUGCGCAGGCGGUUGUGUAAGCCAGAUGUGAAAUCCCCGGGCUUAACCUGGGAAUGGCAUUUGGGACUGCACAGCUAGAGUACGGCAGAGGGGACUAGAAUUCCUGGUGUAGCAGUGAAAUGCGUAGAUAUCAGGAGGAAUACCGAUGGCGAAGGCAGGUCCCUGGGUCGAUACUGACGCUCAUGCACGAAAGCGUGGGGAGCAAACAGG